rnacentral:sRNA from 1 species
AAUAAGCGGAGGAAAAGAAACCAACAGGGAUUGCCCUAGUAACGGCGAGUGAAGCGGCAACAGCUCAAAUUUGAAAUCUGGCCUCGGCCCGAGUUGUAAUUUGCAGAGGAUGCUUCUGGCGCGGUGCCUUCCGAGUUCCCUGGAACGGGACGCCACAGAGGGUGAGAGCCCCGUAUGGUCGGACACCAAGCCUGUGUGAAGCUCCUUCGACGAGUCGAGUAGUUUGGGAAUGCUGCUCUAAAUGGGAGGUAAAUCUCUUCUAAAGCUAAAUACCGGCCAGAGACCGAUAGCGCACAAGUAGAGUGAUCGAAAGAUGAAAAGCACCUUGAAAAGGGGGUUAAAUAGUACGUGAAAUUGUUGAAAGGGAAGCACUUAUGACCAGACUUGGGCCGGGCGGCUCAUCAGGGGUUCUCCCCUGUGCACUCCGCCCGGCACAGGCCAGCAUCGGUUCUCGCGGGGGGAUAAGACCGUCAGGAACGUAGCACCCUCCGGGGUGUGUUAUAGCCUGGCGGACGAUACCCUCGCGGGGACCGAGGUCCGCGCUCCGCAAGGAUGCUGGCGUAAUGGUCAUCAGUGACCCGUCUUGAAAC